GCCGCGGUGGUGGAAUUGGUAGACACGAGGGACUUAAAAUCCCUUGGCCUUAAUACGGCUGUGCCGGUUCGAUUCCGGCUCGCGGCA
rnacentral:tRNA from 4 species